AAGGACAGCAGUUCCACGGCCUGAUGGGAAGAAGCUCGGGCUCAUCUCAACCUGUGAGACUCGGCAAGAAAAG